UUAUCCUCCUCGCUCUCGCCGCGCCGCUCCACUCAUCCGCUCUCCCUCAUUUCUGUGCGAGAACGGCGGCUGACUGAUUUGCGGUAGCGCUGGCGGCCUCAAGUAGGGCUAUGAGGAGGAAGGAAGACGAUUGAAGAUCCAUGAGGAGCACGAGGCGGGGAGCCAAAAUAGAUUGGCGCCAGGGCGUGAGGACCACCCCGUCAUCACGGCGAGCAAGCCGGCAUCCCGUUCGUGUUUCUGACGCGGUUUGGCAUCAUGGUGGCGCAGACGAAGGCCUUCUUCGACUCCAGGCCGGCCGCAGCCACGACGUCGACGACAUCCAGAUCAAGCUCGUCAGCUCCGGCAUCUGGAUCGACCGCUGCUCCGGUGCUCCGGCCAGAGCACCGACAUCACCGUAUCCAAGUUAUGGCUCAUGUUGCUGUGUAUUUGGCUGCUGGUCAUCGCCACUACCUCAGCAAAGUCACUGGCGACCAAGUGGUUCACACUAUCUCCAAAGCUUUUGAAGCAGCGUACAUGUUACAUGAAUCUGGGGCUGACUGAGGGAGAUCAAAAUGGUCGAUGGCGACAUGAGGUUGUAUGCCUGCAGCGCAUGUGUCAGUUAGUGAUGGUUAAUCAAGAUCGAGCAAAGGCUAGGUUCAGGUGUCGCUGUCGUGACCUGCUUGGCAUUACUCUGGUAUAAGUUACGCAGUGGUAACCUUCCUUCUUUUGAUGGUUGUCGACACACAUCUUCAGUCACACAUACACCAUACGAGUUUUGGCCCUGAACUUUAGAAUCUCCAUGUCUGAAGUUAGUCCUCAUCCAAUUGAGCAAUGUAAGUGCCACCCCCUCGAAGUGACAUUUGUUUCUUUGCUUCCAUAUGUUUCUUGAUUUUCAUUGAUUUAAUGACUUGUACCUUUGUUGGCUACUUUUUAGAUGCAGAGCCUCUGGUACGUGCAGCCGCGCUCCGUCGCCGCCACCUGCUACUUCAAGUCCGCCAACGGCCUCGCCAGAAACUUGGUCGUAUCCACAGCCGGACUCAAUCUCUGCCUCGCCCUCCUUGCCGCUUUCCUUCCAAAUACUGAUAUGUAUUCAGUCUUGCUAUGUGAUGCGUUGGGAGAAUAUGAUGCGGGGAGGGGACACAACACUCCACUUCAAUUCCUGUUGUUCACAUCACGUUGUCGCCGAGCUUCAGCUGGUUCUAUUGUGCAUGCUUCUUUCUAUUUGGAAUGCAUCAUUCUUAAAAAAUUUUACGUUAGCUCUUUUUUCCAAUUAAUAACAUUACAAGGUUAUCAACUCUUUCUUGGUGAGGAACGUUGUUGCGCAGGACAGGAGAAAGCUUGAGAGCCUGCUGCCCAAUCUCGCCAAGGCGAUGAGAUGUAGGCUUGCUCUCCACUGCUUUGCUGGUUGCUGCACUUCCAAGGGCUCAGACGCUCAGUCAGCACCUCCUCGCUGACGACCCAUUCGUCGCCAAGCUCAUCUUGGAGUGGUUCGUCGGGUCAUCACUAAUGUCUUCUCUAUUUUGAGAAGCUGCAGUUUCAUCGCCUCUAGACAGGCCGUUGGCGACCGCCACUGCCACUUAUACAUAUACACAUAUAUACACUCAAUGUAGUGUGUGCUUCUUAGGGCAUCUCCAGCCGUUUGCCUCGGAGGCAUUUUUCUCGCCUCCUGGGGGGCUGCCGGCGAGAAUUUUUGCCUGGGUGU